rnacentral:lncRNA from 1 species
CUUUCCCUUUGUUGACAGACGUCCCCCUUUUCAAGCAUGGAUCAAUGCAUCACAAACUACUCAAAGCUUGUCGUCUGCUGUCUAUAAAAUGGAUAGGGAGAUCAGAUAAAAGAGCACAUAAUUUAACAUAAUAAUAUAUUCAGAGCUAAAGUUAGACUAUAUUCUUCGUAUCCAUUGGUAAGAUGAAAAUUAAGUCUACUGUUGACAGGAUUAAUCGAUCCCAAUCUUGAACGAUUAGAACCAUUGGUAAGAACAACAAAAACCAAAUAACUGUGACAACCGAAUAAGAACCCAAUAAUUAUAUCUUGAAUGAUUACAACCAUUGAUAAGAUCUCCAAAAACCAAAAUAAAUUCUGGAACAAUAGAACAUAUAUAUGAUGUUCAUUACAAAAGAUAUAAGCAAUAAACACACCAGUUGAAAUGGGCGAAACACUGUUUGGAAUACUGUGCACUCCUAGGAAAAGAUACCUUUAUUGUGACGCUUUUGAGGUAAACCUUUAUUGUGAGGAUUAUCGUGUGGAAGUUGCAGUGAUAUGUUAGCGUCAAGUUUUUGUCCU